GGCCAGUUAGCUCAGCGGGUUGAGCACAGUGCUGAUAACACCGAGAUUGCGGGUUUGAUUCCCGUUCGGUCCC
rnacentral:tRNA from 1 species